rnacentral:misc_RNA from 1 species
UCGAGUUUUAACUCUUAAAACCAUUUGUGAACAUACCUAUCUUACUGCUUUGGCAGUGGUCCUUCGGGAUUGUGCCGGUAGCUACUACAAACUCUUUAUAUUUCUAGAGAAUUAUUCAUUGCUGAGUGCAUUAACUAAAUAGUUA